rnacentral:rRNA from 1 species
GAUGAACGCUGGCGGCGUACCUAAUACAUGCAAGUCGAGCGAACAGACGAGGAGCUUGCUCCUCUGACGUUAGCGGCGGACGGGUGAGUAACACGUGGAUAACCUACCUAUAAGACUGGGAUAACUUCGGGAAACCGGAGCUAAUACCGGAUAAUAUAUUGAACCGCAUGGUUCAAUAGUGAAAGACGGUUUUGCUGUCACUUAUAGAUGGAUCCGCGCCGCAGUAGCUAGUUGGUAAGGUAACGGCUUACCAAGGCGACGAUGCGUAGCCGACCUGAGAGGGUGAUCGGCCACACUGGAACUGAGACACGGUCCAGACUCCUACGGGAGGCAGCAGUAGGGAAUCUUCCGCAAUGGGCGAAAGCCUGACGGAGCAACGCCGCGUGAGUGAUGAAGGUCUUCGGAUCGUAAAACUCUGUUAUUAGGGAAGAACAAAUGUGUAAGUAACUAUGCACGUCUUGACGGUACCUAAUCAGAAAGCCACGGCUAACUACGUG